UUUACGUAAUCAGAUGUUCUUUUAAUUAUAUACUAAUGUUCUUAAGGUGCACCAUGCUCUAUGUGCACCAUGGUCCACCUUCUAAAUUGCGAUUUUUUUGUUUUCGAUCGGAUUCUUCCUUGCCCAGUUCUGAACAACGAGUUUCAUAGCUUAAACAAGAAUUCAUUCCAUCUCCGCCUCGCACAACAACCUCCCUCCACACCUCCUCACCACCGCCCGAUCCACCACCAGUAUCCGCCCCCAAACCCGCAAAAUCUUCACGAAGACACUCUCCUCCACCAUGACGAAGGGUAAAAUCAUCUCCUGGAUCAAAUCCGAAGGCGAAAAGCUCUCCAAAGGUGACCCCGUCGUCGUCGUUGAAUUCGCUAAAGACGGCAUGGAUGUUGAGACCUUCUACGGUGGUACCUUGCCAAAACUAUUGUUGAUGAAGGUUUCUCCACUCCUGUAGGUCCGCCAUUUCCUCGCUGAAUCCGAAGCAGAAAAGGAGGGUGAGUGAGUGAGUAACUGAGCCAUGAAUCUGGUCUCCAGAAAUCGAAGAGAUGAGGAUGAUUAUGAUGAUAUUUGAUUGAUUUGAAGACCAUCACUACGAAAUUGUUGGAGAACCCGAAGGCUGCACAAGAUCAUAUGAAGAAUCCAAUGGUGAUGAAUAAGAUCCAGAAGCUUGCCAGUGCUGAAAUUGUACAAGUUAAAUGAUUUGGAACCAAUUGAACUACUUUUAGGAACAGGGAUAUAACUUUGGCAUUUGAUAUAUUUUGCACUUUCCAACUAUCACUAUGUAAUUUCCUUUGUACAAAAAAACUAUGUAAUUGCACUGAUCAGUGGAUCAAUCUACUAAAAUUCUUGUUAAAAUUUUUAAUUUUAUUUUAAUUGAGGAUUUUUCUUUAUGCCGUCCA